rnacentral:rRNA from 1 species
UACGUAGGGUGCAAGCGUUGUCCGGAUUUAUUGGGCGUAAAGAGCUCGUAGGCGGUCUGUCGCGUCGGAUGUGAAAACCCAGGGCUCAACCCUGGGCCUGCAUUCGAUACGGGCAGACUAGAGUCCGGAAGAGGAGAGUGGAAUUCCCGGUGUAGCGGUGAAAUGCGCAGAUAUCGGGAAGAACACCCGUGGCGAAGGCGGCUCUCUGGGACGGUACUGACGCUGAGACGCGAAAGCGUGGGGAGCGAUCCGG